AGACUGGAGAAGAGAAGGCUCUGAAGAGACAUUUUAGCAGCCUUCCAUUAGCUCCAGGCAGCCUACAAGAAAGCUGGAGAGGAAAUUUUUAUAACAGCAUGUAGCAACAAGAGAAGGGGAAAUGGUUUUAAUCUGGAAGAGGGUAGAUUUAGACUAGGUAUCAGGAAGAAAUUAUUUACUGUGAGGGUGGUGAGACACUGAAACAGGCUGCCCAGUGAGGCUGUGAAUGCCCCCUCUCUGGAAGCAUUUAGGGCCAGGCUGGAUGGGGCUUUGAGCAACCUGGUCUAGAGGGAGGUGUCCCUGCCUAUAGCAGGAGGGUUGGAAUUACAUGAUUUUAAAGGUCCUUUCCAACCCAAACCAUUUUAUGAUUCUAUGACUCUUUAUGGAGAAGAAAUACUCUUUGAUUAAAGCACAGGGUCCUAAAACACAAACUCCAUAGUCAAACGAAAAAGGGGGAGUAAGUCCAAAACUGUUGUAUUCUGAGUGCAUGGCUCUCAGAAUAUUUCUAGUCCAUUUUAAUUUUCAGUCUCAUAUUCUCCAAAUGUCACUUGAAUUUGUCUAAUUUUGAAUGUCUAUAAGCAUCUAACUUUCUACACAGGUACACUAUUCUGUGUUAGUCUUGUGAGUAAACAAAACAUGGCUGUGUAAUAUGAGGUUUGGUGCCUAAAUGCUGCUCAUUCCUGACAGUUCAUACCAACUUAUUCUUCAAAGAGGCUGUUCAUUUCCUGAAAAGUAUUAACUCCACUUUUCUGUUCAGGUUCAGUUUCAUAGUGGAAGGCAAAACAUAUAUAUCAAACAUACGAUUUAGAUUUCAGUGGACUUCAUCAGGCCAUUGGUAAGCUGUUGGUAACUUGUAUAGAUGCAGCCUAAACAGAGUAUGGGUAGAGACAUUUGUACGCACUUCUCUGAAUGACUGCUUGAUUAAAACUUGAUCUCUUUUAGAAGAAAAACGUUUAUAUCACCGUGCAUUUGCAUUUACAAUACUCUAAACAAGGCAGCGUGGUAUUGCUGUUUUCUGCAAGAAUUCACAUACAGAUGGACAUGGGCUUUAUUGUGCAUGAGCAGCAAACGUUCAGGUUCCAUUUUACAAAUCACAGCAGCCAAGCAGAUGUUAAUGUAGGUAGCCAGGGUCUAUGAGAUGUGAGGAUGAAAGUUAUACGCUUAAAUUAUAAAAGGCCGAAAACCAAGCAGUCUCAAAUUGAAGAAACUGGACUCAUCUUCUGUAUUUUAAAGCCAGACUAUUUAUGCUGAAACAAAGAAAUGUAGUCUCUUAACAAAUAAGUUUGUGAUGUUAGUGGAAAGAGACAUAGAGGCACUAUAUUAACACAAAUUAUAUGCAUAUAUAUACAUUAUUAAAAAAUAUGUUUACCUAUAUAGAGAUACACUGUGCUCACAUACUUGAAUAUCUGUUUUUCAUACAAUACAAUUAAAAUCCUGAUUAGCAAACCUGACCACAGUUCCUCUUCCAUGUACUUUAUGGAGGCAGCCUCCAAGCAGGACUGCAUUUUAAAUAAUAAACAGUAACUUUCCACUCCACUAGCUAGAGCACAUUAAUUUUUACAUUAUCUAUUUUAAGCAAGUGGGCAUAUGCAAUUCACACUUUUCUUAAUAGCUUUGGAUUUUCUCUAGGAAGUGUUAUGCAAAGAUUGCUCUGUGACAGAUCAGCUGUGUUUAUGGUAUAAAUUAGUGUGAAUGUUAUGUUAGCCAUUGUAAUUAUACACCUUUGAAAGAGAAAACUGCGAGAGAAAAUUGCAUAUACUAUAAGAAAUGGGUUUUAACACAUGAUCUACUUGCAUAUUGCUAAAAAUUCUAUUUUUACAUCUAUUCUAACAGAGAACUUUUUGGACUAGAGAGCAGGGAUUUGAGGGGCUGGGAAAAGUCGUGUCUGCUGCUAAAAAUAUUUUAAGGUACUUAUUCUAGAACUGCACAGACCUCAUAAAUUUGUAAUAUGACAAAUGAUAAUGAUACUGAGAGAGGAAUUUUGAUUAUCUUGAUUAACUUUUCCAAGACACUAUGGGCCAUACGCCAUUAUACUGAACUAUAAUUUAUUCUAGAAGUUCAUUGCUUUUGUUGUGAUUGCUCAAAAAAUAAAGCAAUAUUUUGUGUGAGUUACGCUCUUCUGUUUGUUGAUUACUCAGUUUUUACUAUAAUAUACAUCUAUGACUUUUGCUCUGGGCUGGAUAUAUAGUAGCUUAAAAUCAUAAAUGACAUUUGAGUAUUUGAAGGAGUUUCUCCCAUUUCCCAGCAUUUAAUUCAAAUU
ensembl:lncRNA